rfam:Acidobacteria bacterium RBG_16_64_8 RBG_16_scaffold_111941, whole genome shotgun sequence.
CAAAUCCUGCCCGGUAGAGCUUGGUCAGCAGCCGGAAGCGAGUCUUGCGUGGCGCUGGGGUGACUCAGCACACGAAGCGUAGACAGCGAUUGCAGAGGCCGUGCUAUUGAGCCCCGAAAUCGCGUAGUGGGAGCUUUCGUCGUCAGGAAGACGGGAGCAGCACCGCCGUGUCGUAUGGACCUGGCACGAACGGUCUCACCGGGGUCCGAGAACA